rnacentral:sRNA from 1 species
GUCGUACUGAUUCGAUCGGGAUAGUCAUCAAAUAAUUAGGAAAAACCGGGAUGGUUUCCAUGUUAAUGGCGGGCCACAUAAAUCGCAUCUCCGCGACUAAGCCGCAAGGCCGGUGGAUUACAACGACUGGGAACUCCUACAAUUUUUGUAACUCGGACUUUUCAUCACAUCGUCAGUGCGACUCUUA